GACAUACUCCGAGCGAGUUGUUAUUGACGGCGAGCAAUGGUGCGUAAUUGUCUGUGUUUUGUGUCGACCGGGAUCGUUUGGAUCUUACCCGAGCACGAUUGUUAGCAAUGACCCGGUUGACGGCGAACCCGUAGACUCCGAAUGGCGAAUUAACGUGGACGGCGAUAACCUUAUUUGGAGAAUGGAGCAAGGCUCUAAGAGUUCAAGUCUGAUGGUGACUGGAGCUGUUCUCGUUGACAUCAAAUUCUUCGACUCAAUUGGAAGCAUCGGAGGUUUGACGUAUCGCGAGGCUUCCCUGUUGGUUCACACUAACUACUCGCAAAAAUGAAGUGUUUGCCUGUAGCGUUAGUUUGAAAGUGACGAGAAAUUGUUGUAUACAGUGCCGUUAAGUGCAAUUUGAAUACAGUGCAAUUGUAACCUAUUUCUAUCUUCUGUCAAAUAAUCUGAAUUAUAAUUGAAUCUUUUAUAUGGGUCCUAGGAGCUGCAUGUUAGAAUACCUGGGAUCUAUAAUUUGUAAAUACUGCAAUGAAAUCUUGAUUUUGUAAAUUUUAGUGAUUUUUCCUCGAGUGAAUGAAAUACGUUAAAACUCGUUUAAAAUAAAUGCAAAUAAUUACUAAAACAUACGUGAACUUUCGUUCAUAUUUGACUUAAAACCAGCCCUACAAAGGCUGCGUUGUGCUAAAAUUGUGACUACUUCUUCUUGAAGUAAAUAUCUCCUUUUUCGGUGCUUUUUCAAAAUUGAAAUAAUAUCAACUGAUAGGUGCUUACUACAUUUUUAUUUGAAAAUUAUAUUUUUCGACGAAUAGUUAUAAUAAGAAUCUAUAUUUUCAAGGUUUUUAUUUAAAAUUUAACGUCCUUAUACCGCAAAUGAAGCGUUUGCUUGAAACUUUGAAAAGUGACCGGAAGUGAUUGAAUACAUUGCUGUUAAGUGCAAUUUGAAUAGUGCAAUUGGAACCUAUUUAUAUCUUUUGUCAAAUAAUCUGAAUUGUAAUUGAACCUUUUAUAUAACCGUACGAACCUAUUUCUUUCAAUUGCAAUUUCUUUCUGCAAACCUAAUUUUCUUUUGUCGAAUUAUCCGAAUUAUAAUUGAACAUUUAAUAUAGCGGUACGAUUUUCAUUUAAGGAUACGUGGGUUCUAGAUUUCUAAAUACUGCAAUGAUUUUGAAUUUUAGUUAUUCUGUCUUGAGCUAUUAAAAUCGUUAUGAUUCUUUUUAAAUAAAUAUUUAAACAUACUUGAAUAUUCGUUGUUAUAUGAGUUGAAACCAGCCCAUCAACGGCGGUCUUAAUUAGUUGUCAACGGCGGUCAACAUUAGCUAAAUUUAUUGUGAAGAUUUCUUGAAAUGAAUAUCUCCUUUUCUGGUGCUCUUUUUUGUAAUUGAAAUUAUAUCAACUGAUAGGUGCUUACUAAAAUUUUUCAUAUUUUUUGACAGAAUUAUACAAAUAGAAUUUAUUUUUUGAAAA